rnacentral:rRNA from 1 species
GAUGAACGCUGGCGGCGUGCUUAAUACAUGCAAGUCGAACGAAGGGUUAGCAAUAACUCUUAGUGGCGAACGGGUGAGCAACGCGUUGGUGACCUGCCCCGAAGCGAGGGAUAACAGUUCGAAAGGACUGCUACUACCCCAUGCGGUCUUAGGGGUUAGAGCCUUUAAGAUGCAAGGAGUAAUCCACUUCGGGAGGGGCCUGCGUCCCAUCAGCUAGUUGGUAGGGUAAUGGCCUACCAAGGCGACGACGGGUAGGGGACCUGAGAGGGUGGCCCCCCACACUGGCACUGAAACACGGGCCAGACACCUACGGGUGGCAGCAGUAGGGAAUAUUGCACAAUGGGCGAAAGCCUGAUGCAGCAACGCCGCGUGCGCGAAGAAGGCCUUCGGGUCGUAAAGCGCUUUUCGGGGAGAUGAGAAAGGACAGUAUCCCCGGAAUAAGGCUCGGCUAACUACGUGCCAGCCGCCGCGGUAACAC